AAAGGGGUUAAAAAAAGGUAGCCUCCCUACCUUUAUAGAUGCAAGUCAGAACUUUGCCAGUGAAGAGAUAAGUGAAGACAACAUUAUUGACCAACUUGUCAAGCAUCAGAAGCAAGUGAUUGUUUUGGGUGAUGAUACAUGGAAUGGCUUAUUUCCCAGAAGAUUUAAAAGAUCGUUCCUGUUCCCAUCAUUCAAACGGAUGGACCCCACAGUAGACAA